AUGCAGUCGCACGGACCUUUCGGGGUGAGUGGCGGACGGGUGAGUAUCGCGUAGGGAUCUAUCCAUGGGUGGGGGAUAACAUCGGGAAACUGGUGCUAAUACCGCAUGAUACCUGAGGGUCAAAGGCGCAAGUCGCCUGUGGAGGAGCCUGCGUUCGAUUAGCUUGUUGGUGGGGUAAAGGCCUACCAAGGCGAUGAUCGAUAGCUGGUCUGAGAGGAUGAUCAGCCACACUGGGACUGAGACACGGCCCAGACUCCUACGGGAGGCAGCAGUGGGGAAUAUUGGACAAUGGGCGAAAGCCUGAUCCAGCAAUGCCGCGUGUGUGAAGAAGGUCUUCGGAUUGUAAAGCACUUUCGACGGGGACGAUGAUGACGGUACCCGUAGAAGAAGCCCCGGCUAACUUCGUGCCAGCAGCCGCGGUAAUACGAAGGGGGCUAGCGUUGCUCGGAAUGACUGGGCGUAAAGGGCGCGUAGGCGGUUUACACAGUCAGAUGUGAAAUUCCAGGGCUUAACCUUGGGGCUGCAUUUGAUACGUGUAGACUAGAGUGUGAGAGAGGGUUGUGGAAUUCCCAGUGUAGAGGUGA
rnacentral:rRNA from 1 species